rnacentral:rRNA from 1 species
AUUCCAGCUCCAAUAGCGUAUAUUAAAGUUGUUGCGGUUAAAAAGCUCGUAGUUGGAGUUCUGCCAGGUGCCGCCUGUCCGCCCCAGUGGUGAGUACGUGGCGCGCAUUUGGCCCUUUCAAGGGGAGCGUAUCUGCACUUUAUUGUGUGGUGCGGGAUCCUUGACUUUUACUUUGAGGAAAUAGGAGUGUUCCAAGCAGGCUCUCGUCGUGCACAGCUCAGCAUGGAAUAAUAGCAUUGGACCUCGAUUCUAAGCUGUUGGUUGCCAGAAGCGAGGUAAUGAUUAACAGGGACAGUCAGGGGCACUCGUAUUCCGCCGAGAGAGGUGAAAUUCUCAGACCAGCGGAAGACGAACCACUGAGAAAGCAUUUGCCAGGGAUGUUUUCAUCA